AUAAAAAGGAAAGGAUCCAAUAAAGAUUAAUUAUCUAAUUAAGAGGGACAUAAAAUGGGGGAUAAAUCAGCCUCUGGGUCACAGCUGGGGAGGGGUCGGGGCUGGGAUGGGGGGAGGGUCCUGGGAAGGGUGGGAAUUGUGGCUCCAUCCCACAUCCCAAUCCCCACAUCCCAUUCCAGCACAUCCCAAUCCGGCAGGGCCUGUUCCAGCACAUCCCAGUCCUGAAUAUCCCAGUCCCAAAUAUCCCAGUCCCGAAUAUCCCCGUCCCAAAUACCCCCUUCCAGCACAUCCCAAUCCGGCAGGGCCUGUUCCAGCACAUCCCAGUCCCAAAUAUCCCAAUCCUUCAUGUCCCAAUCCCCACAUUCCAUUUCAGUACAUCCCAGUCCCCACGUCCCAGUCCCAAAUGCCCCCUUCCAGCACAUCCCAGUCCUGAAUAUCCCAGUCCCAAAUACCCCCUUCCAGCACAUCCCAGCCCUCACAUCCCCGUCCCCACAUCCCAUUCCUGAAAAUCCAAUUCCAGCACAUUCCAGUCCCUCACACCCCAUUCCAGCACAUCCCAGUCCUUCCCAUCCCAAUCCCCGCAUUCCAUUUCGGUACAUCCCAGUCCCCACAUCCCAGUCCCGAACCCCCCAGUCCUUCCCAUCCCAAUCCUCAAUCCCAUUCCAGCACAUCCCAAUCCCGAAAAUCCCAGCCCGGCCCAUCCCGCUCCCGCAGCGCAGCCCCGGCUCUGGGGACGCUCCCGGGCAGUGCCGGGGCCGUGUCUGUCUGUCCCUCUCUCCGUCUGUCUGUCCCUCUGUCCGUCCCUGUGCCCCCGUGUCCGUCUGUCUCUCUCUGUCCUUGUGUCCCCGUGUCCGUCUGUCAGUCUCGAGCCCGUCCCGCAGAUCUGCCCAUCCCUGUGUCCGUCUGUUUCUGUCCCUGUGUCCGUCUGUCUGUCUCUGUCCCUGUGUCCCCGUGUCCAUCUGUCUGCCUCUGUCCCCGUGUCCGUCUGUCUGUCUCUGUCCCCGUGUCCGUCUGUCUGUCCCGGCCCGUCCCGCAGCUCUCUGUCUCUCUCUAGCGGCUCCUCCCCGCAGAGCCGCGCCCGCCGCUCCCAGUACGGCCCAGGGACUCCCAGUUCAUUCCAGUGACUCCCAGUACGGCCCAGGGACUCCCAGUGACUCCCAGUACAGCCCAGUGAGUCCUAGUGAAUCCCAGUACAGCCCAGCAACACCCAGUUCACCCCAGUGACUCCCAGGGGCUCCCAGUACAGCCCAGUGACUCCCAGCACAGCCCAGUGACUCCCAGUUCAUCCCAGUGACUCCCAGAGACCCGCCCCCUCAAUUCCUCCUCUGCCUCCUAAAGGAGCCCCAAACCCCCUCCCGAGGGGGGAAACUGGGGCAGGGACCCCUCAAGCCCCUUCCCCCCAGUUCCCAACUGGGCAAGCUGGGCCACGGAUCCCUCCUGUGCCUUGUAGU
rnacentral:lncRNA from 1 species